GUGUGUGACAUCAAGACAAGUACGUAGGUGCUCAGUAAAGAAUGAGUUCACUGAACGUGAUCAACAACAAGUUCUCAUACUCAUGUCACAUGAGAACUCAUGUUUGGGAUAAUGCAAAUUAGUCCUUUGACCUGAGGCAUCACAGUUGUCUUGUGGUUAAGUCAUUGAUCUUUGAUUAUGUCAAAGUCACCCCAUCGGGGUGUCCACGGCAUCGUUGGGGUUAAGCCACUUAGUCAUGGAGGCAAGUGAAUGCGCAACAAGGGAUCUCUAACUUUCAAACCGUUUGAGGGAGAAUACUCUAUGAUAUGAUUUAGAAUCUCUGGCCAGAGUAUGAAUGAGAUUUAGGAAUGCGUUCCAAAUCACAUUCAAAGUAAUCAUAUAUGCACAAGAUUCAUAUUGGAUAGUAGACAUGAAUAAACUAUCAAACCAAACAAUGUGGUCAAGAGUAUUGUAUUAGAGAAGGACCGUAUUGCAUUUGUAAUCCUA
rnacentral:lncRNA from 1 species